rnacentral:rRNA from 1 species
GGGUGAGUAAUACGUGAGCAAUGUGCCCUUGACUCUGGGAUAAGCGCUGGAAACGGCGUCUAAUACCGGAUACGACCCUCGGAGGCAUCUCCUGAUGGUGGAAAUAACUUCGGUCAAGGAUCAGCUCAUGGCCUAUCAGCUAGUUGGUGAGGUAACGGCUCACCAAGGCGACGACGGGUAGCCGGCCUGAGAGGGUGACCGGCCACACUGGGACUGAGACACGGCCCAG